rnacentral:rRNA from 1 species
GUGGAGCAUGUGGCUUAAUUUGACUCAACGCGGGAAAUCUUACCGGGUCCGGACACACUGAGGAUUGACAGGCAAUAUUAUAACGCACUCCCUUCGUGGUGCUGCGUUAUAUGUUAAAUAUGCUAGUCCUUUCAUGAUUAUGUGAUAGGUGGUGCAUGGCCGUUCUUAGUUCGUGGAGUGAUCUGUCUGCUUAAUUGCGUUUCACUAAGAACCUAUACAUUUACGUGUGUUGCAGCACUUUGACCCCUUACACUCGUGUAAGCUGCGUGUCUUAGUUUUUGCUUGCUCGCACAAUUAGGUUCUGAAAGCAACGAACGUGACCGCAACCUCUUGUUGCCUUUUAAUACCAAACAUCGCACCUCGCGUGCGUUGCAAAAAGGCUUUUUAAACUAGAGGGACCGCUGUUACUUUCUUAAACCAGAGGAAGGUUGCGGCAAUAACAGGUCUGUGAUGC